rnacentral:rRNA from 1 species
ACAUGCAAGUCGAGGGGCAGCAUGGUCUUAGCUUGCUAAGGCCGAUGGCGACCGGCGCACGGGUGAGUAACACGUAUCCAACCUGCCGUCUACUCUUGAACAGCCUUCUGAAAGGAAGAUUAAUACAAGAUGGCAUCAUGAGUCCGCAUGUUCACAUGAUUAAAGGUAUUCCGGUAGACGAUGGGGAUGCGUUCCAUUAGAUAGUAGGCGGGGUAACGGCCCACCUAGUCUUCGAUGGAUAGGGGUUCUGAGAGGAAGGUCCCCCACAUUGGAACUGAGACACGGUCCAAACUCCUACGGGAGGCAGCAGUGAGGAAUAUUGGUCAAUGGGCGAGAGCCUGAACCAGCCAAGUAGCGUGAAGGAUGACUGCCCUAUGGGUUGUAAACUUCUUUUAUAAAGGAAUAAAGUCGGGUAUGGAUACCCGUUUGCAUGUACUUUAUGAAUAAGGAUCGGCUAACUCCGUGCCAGCAGCCGCGGUAAUACGGAGGAUCCGAGCGUUAUCCGGAUUUAUUGGGUUUAAAGGGAGCGUAGAUGGAUGUUUAAGUCAGUUGUGAAAGUUUGCGGCUCAACCGUAAAAUUGCAGUUGAUACUGGAUAUCUUGAGUGCAGUUGAGGCAGGCGGAAUUCGUGGUGUAGCGGUGAAAUGCUUAGAUAUCACGAAGACUCCGAUUGCGAAGGCAGCCUGCUAAGCUGCAACUG